rnacentral:rRNA from 1 species
CCUACGGGAGGCAGCAGUGAGGAAUAUUGGACAAUGGAGGCCACUCUGAUCCAGCCAUGCCGCGUGCAGGAAGACUGCCCUAUGGGUUGUAAACUGCUUUUAUACAGGAAGAAACUGCGCUACGAGUAGCGUACUGACGGUACUGUAUCAAUAAGGAUCGCCUAACUCCGUGCCAGCAGCCGCGGUAAU